rnacentral:rRNA from 1 species
UACGUAGGGGCAAGCGUUGUCCGGAAUCAUUGGGCGUAAAGAGCGUGUAGGCGCCAGAAGAGUCCGCUGUGAAAACUCGAGGCUCAACUUCGAGCUGUCGGUGGAAACUUUCUGGCUAGAGUCCGGAAGAGGAGAAUGGAAUUCCUGGUGUAGCGGUGAAAUGCGCAGAUAUCAGGAAGAACACCGGUGGCGAAGGCGGAUCUCUGGGCCUUACCUGACGCUGAGGCGCGAAAGCUAGGGGAGCGAACAGG